rnacentral:rRNA from 1 species
AGUGAACGCUGGCGGCGUGCCUAAUACAUGCAAGUCGAACGGAGUGGCGCACGGGUGAGUAAUGUAUAGCUAAUCUGCCCUACCCUAGAGGACAACAGUUGGAAACGACUGCUAAUACUCUAUAGUGUAGGAUGAGGCUAUAUUGUAUCAGCUAGUUGGUGAGGUAAUGGCUCACCAAGGCUAUGACGCAUAACUGGUCUGAGAGGAUGAUCAGUGACACUGAAGUGUAGGAACGGUCCAGAAUCCUACGGGAGGCAGCAGUAGGGAAUAAUGCUCAAUGGGGGGAGCCCUGAAGCAGCAACGCCGCGUGGAGGAUGACGCUUUUGGGGGCGGAGACUCCUUUUGUUAGGGAAGCGGUACCUAACGAAUAAGCACCGGCUAACUCCGUGCCAGCCGCCGCGGUAAUUC